GUCUCUGUCCUGCAAUCUCCCCUUUACAGGCAUUAGGGACAGACCGCUUCACAGGAUCACAGAAUAAGCUUGAGUUGGAAAGGACCCACAAGGAUCACCAAGUCCAUCUCCUAUUUGCACAUGGAAAUGCUCUACAUAAAAGAGUAGAUAAAUCUUAAGCCUUCAGCCUUCCCAUCUGCCGUUCUAGGGAUAAAUUUAAACAGAGUUAUUAUUGUUCUGUGUAGGUGAUGGCUAACAGGAUUACAGAUGACUCUGCACUUAUUAGUCCUGACAUUGUCCCCGUGAAAACAUGGAUAGAAGUUCCACCGUGAAGUCAGCCUUGCAGAGACCAUCUCAAGGACCCACAGGCUCAAUUUUCUCUUGGUUGGAGAGAAAAUAAAGGUCUUACUAUCAGAAUAUUGUGUCAUUUCAAGGUUUUAAGACUUAAAUAGGACCAAGGAAAGAAACACAAUGGAUUACAGGUGCAUUAAACACAGAAACUGUAACAGAGAUCCUCUGGGGCACACCAAUCCAUAAGGAUUUUGUGAAGAGGAAAGAUAAAGGAAAGGUUAGAUGGUUCUUCAGUGUGCUGAACGUGCUUCACAUUUUUUAUAGAAUAAUAUAACUGAACUGUGCUUAGCUCAAUUUAAAAUUUUGUUUUGUAGUUGACCUUUUCCAGAUUAAUGACACAGUUUCAGUGGUAGCACACAGGAGACAUGCCAGUUACAGUGAUUAAAUAAAAACACAUUAAGAGAAACCAUAUAUAUUGUUGCCUAGCAGAGAACCAAAACAUUUUUUUUCCUGAAAGCUGCAUGAACUUAUUUUCCAGGUCUUAAAAAUGGCAUUGGACUUCAAUAGAAAGGAAUUGAAAGAGAGAAUUGAUUAGUAGUAGUUGUGCUUUGGAUGGUGAUGGUAAUUAUUAUAAUACCUCCAAAUACUUUUU